GGGGGUAAAUUAAUAAUUAAUAACUAAUAAAAGAAAUUUUAAUAUUAAAAAAAAAUAAUGGGGGUUAGAGUAUUUUUAAUAGAAAAAAUUAAUAGUUUUAUAGUUAAAUAUUACUGUAAAGGAAAUUAUAAAUAGUUGAAAGUUAAUUAAAAUAAAAGUAAAUUUAGUUUAUUGUAUCUUGUGUAUCAGAGUUUAUUAAAUAAUAAUAAUUUAUUUAAAUAAAUCUCGAAUUUAAAAGAGUUAAUUAAUUAAAAAAGUUAAUGUUGAAUAAUUAUUUUAAAUAAUUAAUUAGAAAUGAAAUGUUAAUCGUUUUUAAAUAUAUCUAGUUUUUUUAGAAAAAAAUUUAAUUUUAAAUUUAAAUAAUUUUAUAAUUUUUUAAUUAAUUAUAAAAAUUUAAAAUUUAAUAUUUUAGGGGAUAAGCUUUAAAUUAAAAUAUUAUAAUUAAUUAAGAUAAAAAUUAAAAUUUUUAAAAUUUAUAUUGUUUAAAAAUUGUAAUUUAUUAUAAAAAAUUUUAAUUAAAAUAAAAUUUAAAUUAAAUUUAAUUUUUUAUAAAAAAAUAAUUUUUAAUAAAAAAAAAUUAGUAAUAAUGAUAAAAUUAGUAUAUUAUAAUAAUUGAAUAAAAAAAUUAAUUUAAAUUAAAUUAAAGGAAUUCGGCAAAAUUUUAUAUUCACUUGUUUAUCAAAAACAUGUCUUUUUGAUAAUAAUUUAAAGUCUAAUCUGCCCACUGAUAAAUUAUUAAAGGGCUGCAGUAUAUUGACUGUACAAAGGUAGCAUAAUCAUUAGUCUUUUAAUUGAAGACUUGUAUGAAAGAUUUGAUGAAAUAUAAACUGUCUCUAAUUUAUUUAAAUAAAACUUAAUUUUUUAGUAAAAAAGCUAAAAUAAAAUUAAAAGACGAGAAGACCCUAUAGAGUUUUAUAAUUAAAAUAAUUAAUUUAAAAUAUAUAAAUAUAAAAAUAAAAUUUUUUUAAUUAUUUUAUUGGGGUGAUAGAAAAAUUAAAAAAACUUUUUUUAAAAUGUUAACAUUAAUAAGUGAUUAAAUGAUCCAUUUAUAGUGAUUAUAAGAAAAAAUUACCUUAGGGAUAACAGCGUAAUAUUUUUUUUUAAGUACAAAUAAAAAGGAAAGUUUGCGACCUCGAUGUUGGAUUAAGAUAAAAUUUAAAUGCAAAAGUUUAAAAUUUUGAUCUGUUCGAUCAUUAAAAUCUUACAUGAUCUGAGUUCAAACCGGUGUGAGCCAGGUUGGUUUCUAUCUUUAGUGAAAAUAAAUAUUUUA
rnacentral:rRNA from 1 species